UAUCAUAUAGAGUUGUAUGGAUCGGAUGAAUUUAAACAUAUAGAAGCAUCUAGACCAAUGCUUGACACAUGAGUCCCAAUUAUUGUAUGUGAUCCUUAAUUAUUACAGUGUUUUGAUGAAAAUGAAAAUGAGCUAAUGUUGGCAAAAGCCUAGCCCCUGCCUUGACCGUGGUAAGUCUUGGCUAGUGUUGUUGGGGAAACAGGUCUUUGUCCUCGCCCCCACACCAUGCUUAUACUCGGACACUGGGGCCAGUAGUCUCAAUGGUUCCUUUACUUGUGCUCCUGGAAGCAGGGAGGCCUCCCCCUCUUCCUCCCCUGCUGAGGUGGCUCCCUUCCUGCCUCCUCCUGGGACACCCACUUCCUCUCCCUGUUUGUCCCAGGCUCACCUCUGAGGAGGCAGAUGAAUUCAGAUCCUCGUGGGAUGGAAUCUCUGCUUUGACGGUUACUGCUUUGCCUUGGCUCUGGCUUCGUGUCCUCACCUAGUGAUGCAGGUUCUACUCCCACAGGUUCUGGUGCAAGCUCCAAGCCAGAUGUAAAGAAGUCCAUCAAGAAACUUUCUGAGCCCUUUGCUCAAGUGUUCCCCAUGCUUUCUGUCAUCGUCCACCCUGCCCCAGUGGACAGUGACCCACUGGAGCACCAUCCUUUUGGAUGAUGCCUUCUGAAGUGUGGGGAACAGACCAUUGGUGGAGACUGCAUUAGUUAUCUGUUGCUGUGUAACAAAUAACCCGAACACUCAGGUGGCUUCAAAGAGCAUACUUCAGUAUCUCACAGCCUUUCUGGAGCAGCAACCCAGGAGGGACUUAGAAGGUCCCUGGACUCUGUUCCAGGUCCUUUGUCUCUCAUGAAGCUGCAGUCAUCUUAAGGUUCCCUCAUGUUACUGCUGGUAGGUUUCAGUUCUUCCUGGUUGAUAUGCUGGGGGCUGGAAGGUUCCCUCAGUUCCUUCACAUGGGCCUCUCCACAGAGUGUUUUGCAGCAUGGUGCUGGUGAGAGGACAGGGAGAAUGCAAAGGAGCCACAAGUCAUGGUCUCACAGCCUAAUAUUGGUAGGGAUGUCCUGUCACUUUUGCCAAAUUGUUUUUUAAUUAAUGCAUUUUGGCAAAAGUGAUUAGAUUCCCUCUUUAAUGUUUCAUGAAAACAUUUGUGGUGAGUCUUCUCUAACACCCAAGGGAUUGGAAAAUUAGGAUGAAUACAGUUUAAAUUGACUCUCUCAAAAAGAGGUAUAUACUUCCCUAUGAGAAAACAUGGCAACCUUCCUGAGUGCUGGUUUCACUUAAAGAUGUUGGGUUGAAAAGUUAAAAUAUCUGACCAGCAAAUAUUUUAAAAAAUUCUUAUACAAAAAUGAAUGUAGAUAUAUGUCCCCCUUGCUCCUUUGAGCCAUACGCCUCAUCUCCACCAAGUAGAGUGUCCUUGACUUAGCUCCGCAGGUGUUGUGUGUUUCAUAUCCUGGUUAAGAAUUAAGUGCAAAUGUCCCCAGAAUUUUUAAAAUAAAAAAUAUACGACUGCAGAAAAGCCGUCUAUAUCCCUCAUCCUCCCUGUGGUGCCCAGGAAGGGUAUGAGGCCAUCACUAGCUGCUGGUGAGGGAUUCUGAUAGAAAAAUGUGAGGAGGCGCAGUUGCUAGAGUUUAAGCGCAGACUCCUACCUGUGCCUGUGUGGUGGACCUCCUUUAGGCCCCUGUCAUCCCUACCCCUGGUGUUCACGCCAUUGUAGAAGCCUCUCCCUUUGAUGGCCUGCAGGAGCUGUGCCUUGCUCCACAUGAACAGAAUAUAGCAAAGGCAGUGGGAUGUCACUCACAUGAUUAGACAAUGCUGUAUCAGACCCGGUCUCAUCAGAUCUUUCCUCAUGGGCUUGAUGAAGCAAGAAUCUAGACUGGGGGAGAAAGCCCACGUGGUGAGGAACUGCAGGUGGUACCUAAGAUGUGAAGACAGCCUCUAACUGGCAAAACCCAGGACCCUCUGUGAGACAGCCCCAGGAACUGAGCUCUGUCAACAACCUGAAUGAGGCUAGAAGCCAGUUCAUUCCCAGGUGAAUGUGCAGCCUGCCUGACACUUGGAUUGUAGCUGGUGAGAUCCUAAGCAGAGACUCCAGUGGAGCCAUGCCUCUACUUCUGACCUGCAGAAACCGAGGAAUACCUGUGUGUUGCGUUCAGCCUCAGUUUGCGGCUCCAAAUAUUUAUAAAAUGUCCCCAAGGAUGAAGCUCUCAAGACCAAAUUGAACGCGUCUUGGUGGAAACCAAGGUCUGCCAGAGCCAUCUUAGCCAGGAUGAAACACACAACACCUGAAGGACUAAGUCAAGGACACUCUGCUGGGUGAGACAAGGUGUCUGGCUCGAAGGAGCAGGGGGCAUGUGGAACAAGUCACUCAGAGGGUGCUUUGCCUCAACUCUGGGUUUAUGAAGAUUGUGUAGGAAGAGUGUGGUGGAAUGCUCAGAUUUCCUUUUUGCCUUUAAGUUGGUGAGUCAGAAGGAAAAGGUUAGUGGGCAGUUGAUACUGAGUAGACACAGGAACAGCUUCCUCUUGCUCCCGGAGUUGAAUGACUUUGUCCCUGAGAUGUUAGCAUGGUGGACCGUAGAGUCUUUAGGACCCCUAUCCUCCUCUAGGCUGGGACUAGUAUGUUAAAUUGUGGAGGGCACUAGCCUUGGAUGCUGAAUUUAAAGGGUGCCCUCAACCUGGAAAUCAAGAUAAAUAAAAUUUUAAUGAAAUAUUUAAAGAUUAAACAAUUAUGCCAAACAACAAUGAACAAGUUAUCAACAUUUUAAAGAGGGACAGGAUCCCGCCUUGGUCCUAAUCCUGACCCUGACUGUCCACACACGGAGAUGUUUGAGUGGUUAGGACCCAGUCUAUAAAUAACGGUCAGGCAGCCAGUGGCAACCCUGGGGACAUGGUGCAGGUCUUGCUGCCUGGAACUUUACAGGUAAAUGGAAGUUUUAGCUGUGACCACAAAACAUAAUAAAAGACUUACCUGGUAGUUGGUCUAUUGAGAGAAAGAUCUGCCUUGUAUUCAGGGUUUUAUUCUUUUCAGCCUUGUUUUAUAUUUUAUUGGUCUUCAGUUGGGUUUUUCCAAAAGCAGACCCCAGUCAGGGACUAGGUGCCAGCAGUUAAUUUGGAGGUGACCCCCGAAAGCUUCAGUAGGGAGUACAAAAAGGAGCCAAGUGAAGGGAGGGAGCCACCUGUAAGGGCGAAUGACAGAGUCGGUUGAUACCAUGGGCACCUGGGACUUAAUUGUUCUGAGGAUCCUUGGAGAAACAAUAUGAGCCCAUCUCAGAAUUGCCUCACGUGGGGGGUGAAGCAACUUGGGCAUAUAUAUGGUAUUUCAGGUCAUUCAUUAGUUGAGGUUUACCCUUAAAAGCCUGAUGUCCCUUCCUGCCCAGGGAGAGAGUCAAGUACUUCCUAUGGUGGACAAAGAUCUCAGAACAAGAGGUGCAGGGGCUUGGAGUAAGAAGGUAGAGGAGAGUGUGGGAGCUGUCACCAAACUGCAGGUGAGCUGUGAGGCGGGCUGAUGGGACAAGGGCAGGACGUUGACAAGCAUGAAGUGCAGCUAAUACCCACAGGGAAUAAUAACUAGAAUAGGACAAGCUCUUCUAAGCACGUGGAGUGACCAGGUCUGGAUGCGCCACAAGACUCAAAGACACUGGAUUCAGGAGCCGACUUGGGUAUGUCUCCCUGCAUGGAUUCCAGCCUUUGGCCUCUCUGUGUUGGCUGCCUUUACCCAGUGGGACCCUGGACCCACAGAUGACCAGGCAACAGUGACAAGGAGGGACAUGCAAGGAGGACCCACAAGGUGCAUGGUGAUUCCUGCAGUAACUAUAUCCUUUGUCUGAGAGGAAACCAUCACCUCUGGUGUCAAAACUGGCAGGUGGUGGAGAUUGUGGAGUGAAAAAGUGCUUGCGUGGCCUGGAACGGGGGGACCUGGUCCGACACUAAGACCGGGACUUCACUACUUUGUAGCCAGACUGUGAGCAGAGAGAAAAUGCAGACUGAUUUUUCUAACUCAGAUCAUGUGUGUAAUGAAUCCUAUUAAUGGCUGCUGAUUUGUUUAGCAGUUACGACAUGCUGGGCACUGUGGUGUGCUUUAUAAGCCUGAACUCACUGGAUGCUCACAACACGCCCCCGAGAGAGGUAUCGGACUUGGAGAGGUUAAGUAACUUGCCCAGGUCCCAGGAACAGUACGAGCAGAACUACAGUUGGUAGCUGGGCACACCCUAAGAACUCGGGGUGACGUUCUAUAAAAUGACUGCUAAGAAUGCAUAUGUUGCAUAAAGAAGGACAAGAAGUGAACUGGUUGAAGCCUUGCUCAUAAAAUAAAAUAGAAUGCUCAUGUGAAGAGUUCAUCACUACAUUUCAGGAUGUGGUGGGCAGACACCACGUGUCUGUGUGUGUGGGAAAGAGUCUGUGCUUGCUACGUGGUUGGAGAAGCGCCCGUGGGCUACCCCCAUGCCCUGAUAUUCCAAAGGUGGGCCCAGACUUUCCCAGGGACAGUCAUCUGUGCUGAGAAGGAGGCUCUGGAUCUGUGGUGUCCAGGGGACUCCGGCAACUGCUCGGCUUUUUUUGGGUCCCACCCUUUGCUGGCUGUUUGACUGCAGGCAAGGGACUUAGUCACCAGGGAACCUACUUUUCUCAUCUGUAAAUGAGGAUAAUGAGCCCUGACUCUUGCCUUCCUCUCAGGUAGGGCAGGAAAGCUUCCUGAGAGCACCCCAUGGGGCCUUUUGAUGUGCUUAAAAGAAUCCUCCUUAAUUGCCUGGCCAGGCACUGAGCAGCUGGGCGAAAGUUUUAUGACCCAAGAUUCCCACAGCGCAUCAUCUACCGGCUCCAGAAGCCCUCAGAGGGUCUCAGCGAUGGAUUCCGCGGGCAAAGCUUCUGCCAGUCCAUCAGCAGAGAUCUCUCAGAGCCUGAGUCACCUAAUAGGUGGCUUCCUGGGGGUGCUUUGGCCAGGGCCACAUGUAUUUAUGUGGUAUUUUCUGAGAGUUCCUAUGAGCACAUGGCAAUUUCUCCCUCCUCCUGGAACCCGUCCAUAGCAGUCAUUUCUAGAGCUGUGAACUACUGCUGACCUUUGUCACUUCUGUGACAAGCUGGAUGUGCCUUGUCCCUCUGGGUCCGGUGUUUGGAAGGAUGAAGUGAGCAUUGGGCUUGGUACCAGCAUGAAGCUUUCUGAAGAGUCUCUGCCUCCGGCCUGCCUGGCUGUCCAUGCUCACCACACUGCGGUCUGGCCAACAGAACACACUGCUUCCUCCUGGGAACCACCAGAGUCCCUGCAUGGUCCACAGGAGGAAAGUUGAACAAGUAACUCGGCCUCCCAACCUUGGCCCCCAACUCAAAGUCUGGUUGCAAGUUUGCUUCUCUUCCUUUCCCAUCUUCUGUAAUGUAGACAAUCCUUUCACUUAAGUUUGUUGUCACCUCCUGUGUGCCAAGUACUAUGGUAAGCUGUGUUCAGCUCUGGGCAAUGAGAUAUCGUUCCUGCUCCCAGACAGGCAUGGCUUCUGAUAAGGGCCAUGCUGUGCGAGAGGGUGGGUCUGCAGGGGUCCGCCUGGGGAGAGAGUAGGAAGCCCAGCAACCAAGGAUGAUUAGGAUGCAGCGUGACAAAGAGCCAGCGGUGGGAGUGGGAGUGGAAAUCACGGCCGGAAUGUUCCAGCAAGAAG